UCAAGGGGUGAUGUAGGCUCCACCGGGCCUGUUUGUGGAGGUUUAGCCCCUCCAUGAGACCAGGUCCUCGCGUGGGUCCCAGCAGGCUGGGUCUGGCACGGCACAGGGAAAGAAUGGAACAAUAAACACGGCUCCACCACGCCGGGUGUUUCCCCCACCCCUCGCUUCAUAUUCAAUAGGUCACCAGAUGAAACCGCACUGAGAGACUGUCCGAUAAGAUCUUUCCUCUGUUCCUGGUACGGCAGCUUAUUGCAGCCUCGCAACUCCUUUCUCGCAGGUAAAUCAGAGGUCAUCUGGCCUGGGGCGCCAGCGCCGACGUGUGAUGGGAGACCCACGCCGAGGAGCGGCAUGCGACUCGGGACCCACCUGACGUGUCGGAGCGGAGCGGCUUCGGAUGUGCCCGAGGCGUGGGGCUGGCUGGCCGAGGUGGCGGGAUGGAGCAGCAUGCGGGAUGGGGCUCUGGGACUCCCGCUCCAUCGCUAAAGGUCUUCACAGAGCCUCCAGCUUGGAUGGGAGUAAGACUUCAGGCUGAGGCCAGGGGGUGCCAAAAUGCCCAUCAGGACUGAAUUGCUGCUCGUCCUGGUGCCCUGAGGCUCAAUAGCCACCGACACCGCUCCUUUGAAGUCCUGUCCUGACCUGCUGCCGUGCUAUUUCAUCUUCACUCCUCGCUUCGGAGUGGAAACUGGGUCACAGCACUGGCUGCAUGCUCCGAAGCCUCCUUAUCCAGAACAAGGAUCCUCCCAAAGGCGGAGCAGAUGGGCUGCAGGUGUCCUUGGAGCGAACGCCCUGCAGCUCCCAGCGGGGCGGAUGUCAUUGGAGAAAUGGGUGUGGCAGAAGCACCUGCCCGUUCCCCGUACCCUUUAUUAGACCAACUUUCUAAUAAAAGGUAUCAUU